UACGGAGGGGGGCUAGCGUUGUUCGGAAUUACUGGGCGUAAAGCGCACGUAGGCGGCUUUUGUAAGUUAGAGGUGAAAAGCCCCAGGGCUUAACCCUGGAAUUGCCUUUAAGACUGCAUCGCUAGAAUCGUGGAGAGGUGAGUGGAAUUCCGAGUGUAGAGGUGAAAUUCGUAGAUAUUCGGAAGAACACCAGUGGCGAAGGCGACUCACUGGACACGUAUUGACGCUGAGGUGCGAAAGCGUGGGGAGCAAACAGG
rnacentral:rRNA from 1 species